GGUUUGAUCAUGGCUCAGAUUGAACGCUGGCGGAUGCUUUACACAUGCAAGUCGAACGGCAGCACGGACUUCUCGGUCUGGUGGCGAGUGGCGAACGGGUGAGUAAUGUAUCGGAACGUGCCUAGUAGCGGGGAUAACUACGCGAAAGGUAGCUAAUACCGCAUACGCCCUUCGGGGAAAGCGGGGACCCUUCGGGCCUCGCACUAUUAGAGCGGCCGAUAUCGGAUUAGCUAGUUGGUGGGGCAACGGCUCACCAAGGCGACGAUCCGUAGCUGGUUUGAGAGGACGACCAGCCACACUGGGACUGAGACGGCCCAGACUCCUACGGGAGGCAGCAGUGGGGAAUUUUGGACAAUGGGGAAACCCUGAUCCAGCCAUCCCGCGUGUGCGAUGAAGGCCUUCGGGUUGUAAAGCACUUUUGGCAGGGAGGUAAGAAACGGCACGGGGAUAAUACCCCGUGCAACUGACGGUACCUGCAGAAUAAGCACCGGCUAACUACGUGCCAGCAGCCGCGGUAAUACGUAGGGUGCAAGCGUUAAUCGGAAUUACUGGGCGUAAAGCGUGCGCAGGCGGUUCGGAAAGAAAGAUGUGAAAUCCCAGAGCUUAACUUUUGGAACUGCAUUUUUAACUACCGAGCUAGAGUGUGUCAGAGGGAGGUGGAAUUCCGCGUGUAGCAGUGAAAUGCGUAGAUAUGCGGAGGAACACCGAUGGCGAAGGCAGCCUCCUGGGAUAACACUGACGCUCAUGCACGAAAGCGUGGGGAGCAAACAGAUUAGAUACCCUGGUAGUCCACGCCCCUAAACGAUGUCAACUAGCUGUUGGGGCUCUCUGGGCCUUGGUAGCGCAGCUAACGCGUGAAGUUGACCGCCUGGGGAGUACGGUCGCAAGAUUAAAACUCAAAAGGAAUUGACGGGGACCCGCACAAGCGGUGGAUGAUGUGAUUAAUUCGAUGCAACGCGAAAACCUUACCUACCCUUGACAUGUCUGGAAUCCCGAAGAGAUUUGGGAGUGCUCGCAAGAGAACCGGAACACAGGUGCUGCAUGGUUGUCGUCAGCUCGUGUCGUGAGAUGUUGGGUUAAGUCCCGCAACGAGCGCAACCCUUGUCAUUAGUUGCUACGAAAGGGCACUCUAAUGAGAUCGCCGGUGACAAACCGAGGAAGGGUGGGGAUGACGUCAAGUCCUCAUGGCUCCCAGGUAGGCUUCACACGUCAUACAAUGGUCGGGACAGAGGGUCGCCAACCCGCGAGGGGGAGUCAAUCCCAGAAACCCGAUCGUAGUCCGGAUCGCAGUCUGCAACUCGACUGCGUGAAGUCGGAAUCGCUAGUAAUCGCGGAUCAGCAUGUCGCGGUGAAUACGUUCCCGGUCUUGUACACACCGCCCGUCACACCAUGGGAGUGUGGGUUUUACCAGAAGUAGUUAGCCUAACCGUAAGGAGGGCGAUUACCACGGUAGGAUUCAUGACUGGGGUGAAGUCGUAACAAGGCAG
rnacentral:rRNA from 1 species